rnacentral:lncRNA from 1 species
GUCUGGUUACCUGAGCCAGGUCUGGGGCCAGGCAGCAUGCAUUCUAGUCCUGCCUGGGACACUCACUGGCCUCAAGAUCUUGGGCAAAACAGCUGACUGCUUUGCACCUCAGUUUCCUCAUCUGUAAGAAUUGCUGUCAAAUUAAGCUCCACUUCAGAAGACAAGCAACAGUGGGAGAAACUCUGAGUCAACGGCUUUAACUUUGGCAGCGUUCUUCACUGAUUCGUGAAGUAGGCUAGCAACCUC